GCGGGGGUGCCGGAGUGGUCAAACGGGCACGGUUGAGGGCCGUGUGGCUUAGUGCCUGCGCGGGUUCAAACCCCGUCUCCCGCA
rnacentral:tRNA from 1 species